CCUACGGGUGGCUGCAGUGAGGAAUAUUGGUCAAUGGACGAGAGUCUGAUCCAGCCAAGUAGCGUGAAGGAUGACUGCCCUAUGGGUUGUAAAUUUCUUUUAUAUGGGAAUAAAACAGGGUAUGCAUACCCUCUUGUAUGUACCAUAUGAAUAAGGAUAGGCUAACUCCGUGCCAGCAGCCGCGGUAAUACGGAGGAUACGAGCGUUAACCGGAUUUAUUGGGUUUAAAGGGAGCGUAGGUGGAUUGUUAAGUCAGUUGGGAAAGUUUGCGGCCCAACCGUAAAAUUGCAGUUGAAACUGGCAGUCUUGAGUACAGGAGAGGUGGGGGGAAUUCGUGGUGUAGCGGUGAAAUGCUUAGAGAUCACGAAGAACUCCGGUUGCGAAGGCAGCUCACUGGAC
rnacentral:rRNA from 1 species